rnacentral:rRNA from 1 species
UACGGGGGGGGCAAGCGUUGUUCGGAAUUACUGGGCGUAAAGGGCGCGUAGGCGGCCGAUCAAGUCGGGGGUGAAAGCCUGUGGCUCAACCACAGAAUGGCCUUCGAUACUGUUUGGCUUGAGACCGGAAGAGGUCAGUGGAACUGCGAGUGUAGAGGUGAAAUUCGUAGAUAUUCGCAAGAACACCAGUGGCGAAGGCGGCUGACUGGUCCGGUUCUGACGCUGAGGCGCGAAAGCGUGGGGAGCAAACAGG